UCAACACUCAACAGUCAACGCUUGGGUAAAGCCAUCCACCGCUCUGGAUCCAACGGCCACCUCUCCUCUCCCUGACCUAGCCGCCGCCACCUCUCUCCCGCGAACUCCAUGGCGACUGCGGCCUGAUCCGCAUCCCCGCCGCCCCUGCUGACCCCGUCUACCACGCCCUGGUCUUCAAACCGCGGCUGCCCCACUCCAACCUCGCCGCCGCCAGGCCCGGCACACCGUCGCCGCCGGCCGGGAGAGAUGGAUGAUGAGGCGCAGGAGACUCCAAAUGUUGGUGCUCUUCCCAGGAAGGCCCCCAAGGUGAUGAAUUGGACUCCGCCUAUGUCUGCGUUGAUGUUGAAAGGCCUUUCAGAGGUGGCGGCAAGAGGUGCCAAGACUGACAAAGGGUUCAAUGAGGUAAGUGUCUUCAGAGAACAAAUUCUGCAACUUGCUGGGAUUGCUUGUCAUGAAGAGGAGGGAAAAUCACGGACAGAGCUACUGGAGAAGCUCAAAACAUGUAACAAGGUUAUGCUAGUUGAACUGUGCCGUUCAUUUGAUGUCCCUGGUUCAACAAGCACUAAGAAGGAUGAAUUAGUGACAAUACUGAUGGAGUUCUUGAUGGAACACUGUUCUGGUAUUAUUUACACAGAUCCUGAUAAGGCUCAACUUCUUAGCGGCCAGAAACUUAAGAAAAGAAAGCGCAACAAGAAUGGAGCGAAUCUAUCUGGUGGGGAACCUUCCAAGAAAAGGAAACCAGAUGGAACUCUACUGGAAUUUUGUAGUCAAGAGGAAGCAGAUGGGAGAAAAGCUGUAGAAGAUAGAACAAACCAUUCCGAGUUCUGCUUGAGGGAUAGCAGAGAUGAGCUGGUAAAUGACUCCGCGUUGGGGAAAUUAGCUGUAGUUCCGCUCCCAGGAGUACUGAUUCCUACAGAUGAACAAACGCUAAUCACAACACCAUCUGCAAAGUUAUUUAGCAAUGUUGAGAACGAUACCACGGAUAUGGCAGCUUCAAUGAAGAAAAACAUUUCUGUUACCAAGAAAAAGGCAAUCCAAAACACAGAUUCCAAGGAGAAAUCUGGUGGUAAAAUUAUGUCUAGAGGAGAUGCGAAACCAUGGAAGCAGGCACCGAAACCAAGUAAGGAUGAGCUGAGACAAGCUGUCUUCUGUAUAUUGGGUGCUGCAAAUUUUGCCACGAUGACUUUUGGAGAGGUUGUAAAAGCAGUUGACAAAUACUUUGGCAAGGAUUUGUUUGAGAGAAAGCCACUGGUAAGGGCCUUGAUAGAGGAGGAGCUGUUUAGGCUAGCCAAGGAGGCUGAGAGGAAGGAAGUGGAAGAGGAGGAAGCAAUGGAAGCAAAAGUAAGAGCUGAACAAGCUGCCAAGGACAGCAGCGCAAGGGAUGGAAGAGUUGAAUCAGAGAUAGACAAGGAAUAUGAAGUUGAAGGUGGUCCAGAUGGUAAAUCUAAGGAUGCUGAAAAGACUGGCAACAGCAAUGGUAGUGAAGAAGGUGGUAAAAGUGGGAUUUGUGUGAAGGCUGGUGAGAAGGCCGCUGAAAAUUUACAAGAUGGGAAGGCAGAAGUUGACACAAGGAAGAAAGAAUUUAGCGAGGAUUGCGAGGCUGAAAAGAUUGUGCAGAAUGCAAAUGGCGAUGGUGGCACGGAAAUAUUGAGAGAUGGUAAAGCUGAAACUGUGAAUAAUAAUUGCAACGGUAACACCAUAGGAGGUUCUGAAGAUGUCAAAUCUGGAGAAAAAGACGGCAGAUCUGAAGAAGGCAGGGCUGAAAAUGCUGGUGACUGUGAAGCUGAAGAAUCUGAAACCUGUCCAGAAGCAGAAGCAGAAGCAGAAGAUGUCAAAUCUAAGGAAGCCAGUGGAAAUGAGAUUAGCCUUAACCCCAACUGAUCAAGCCUAAGAUCCAAAGGAGGUGGUGAGAUGAAGGUCCAGCUGAUGGAUGUUUCAGCCCCACUUAGUCCCAACUAGUAGGAUAGUUUAUGGAGGAUUAGAUUUCCUUGCGGACUGUACCCCAACAAGGUUAGGAAAUGGACAGAAUGUUGUGUAAAUUGUGCUUGACAUGUACUGUAGGUAGGUAGGUAGAACUGCUUUGCUCCAAUGGACGGGCGGGCGGAUGGACGGCCUGGAUUGGUCUGACAUGGCAGUAAUCGACGGUUGUCCAAUGUGACAGGUGGCACAUACUUAUCGAGUGAGCAACGGCUGGCUUGGCUCCACGUUCACAGCUCCAUCCCUUCUUAUCCGCGCAAUCCAACGGACCGGACCCAGCCAAGCCAUUCCCCACCACCCUCUCCCAG